GUCCUAGCCGUAAACGAUGGGCACUAGGCGUGGGAGGCAUCGACCCCUUCCGUGCCGCAGCUAACGCGAUAAGUGCCCCACCUGGGGACUACGGCCGCAAGGUUGAAACUCAAAGGAAUUGACGGGGGCCCCGCACAAGCGGUGGAGUAUGUGGUUCAAUUCGAUGCAACGCGAAGAACCUUACCAGGGCUUGACAUGCUUUGGACAGGCGUGGAAACACGCCCUCCCUUCGGGGCCGAAGCACAGGUGCUGCAUGGCUGUCGU
rnacentral:rRNA from 1 species